rnacentral:rRNA from 1 species
AUUGAACGCUGGCGGCAGGCCUAACACAUGCAAGUCGAGCGGAUGACGGGAGCUUGCUCCUUGAUUCAGCGGCGGACGGGUGAGUAAUGCCUAGGAAUCUGCCUGGUAGUGGGGGACAACGUUUCGAAAGGAACGCUAAUACCGCAGACGUCCUACGGGAGAAAGCAGGGGACCUUCGGGCCUUGCGCUAGCAUAUGAGCCUAGGUGGGAUCAGCUAGUUGGUGGGGUAAUGGCUCACCAAGGCGACGAUCCGUAACUGGUCUGAGAGGAUGAUCAGUCACACUGGAACUGAGACACGGUCCAGACUCCUACGGGAGGCAGCAGUGGGGAAUAUUGGACAAUGGGCGAAAGCCUGAUCCAGCCAUGCCGCGUGUGUGAAGAAGGUCUUCGGAUUGUAAAGCACUUUAAGUUGGGAGGAAGGGCAGUAAGUUAAUACCUUGCUGUUUUGGCGUUACCGACAGAAUAAGCACCGGCUAACUCUGCGCCAGCCGCCGCAGUAA